rnacentral:rRNA from 1 species
UACGUAGGGUGCGAGCGUUAAUCGGAAUUACUGGGCGUAAAGCGUGCGCAGGCGGUCCGUUAAGACAGAUGUGAAAUCCCCGGGCUUAACCUGGGAACUGCAUUUGUGACUGGCGGACUCGAGUAUGGCAGAGGGGGGGUAGAAUUCCACGUGUAGCAGUGAAAUGCGUAGAGAUCGGAAAGAACACCAACGGCGAAAGCACUCUGCUGGGCCGACACUGACACU